CUUCCCCUCCGACAGCGGGCGGGGCGCUCGCGGCGCGUGACCCCGGCACCUGAAACUCAACGCCGGGACUAGGCAGCGAACAGGUUGUUCCUGCAGCGCCGCUAGCGAGCGCGUGGAGGGAGCCGGGAACCAGUUUCGAGUACAACAUAGCCAAUAGAAGAAUAGACUUCCACACAGGACCUUGGCAAUGUGCCUCUUUUGUGUACACAUACCUAGUGUAAUUGCCUCUUAGAAACGGAUUAUUUUCUAGCUGUAUGUCCACUCAAUGCACAGAUGAUCUUGGGAGCACAGCCUUCCUCUUUGUUAUUGGCGGCAGAAUGGCUGCGCAGAAUUAGAAAGCGGCCAAGAUGGACUAAGGAGGACUUUAUGCGUGAGGUUAUGAUGCACUCAGCUGCUGAGAAAAAAGAAUUGAAGGAGUGGUGGGACAGCGAGAAGAGGGACCG